rnacentral:rRNA from 1 species
AUUGAACGCUGGCGGCAGGCCUAACACAUGCAAGUCGCACGAGUGGCGGACGGGUGAGUAAUGUCUGGGAAACUGCCCGAUGGAGGGGGAUAACUACUGGAAACGGGAGCUAAUACCGCAUACCAUCGGAUGUGCCCAUAUGGGAUUAGCUAGUAGGUGGGGUAACGGCUCACCUAGGCGACGAUCCCUAGCUGGUCUGAGAGGAUGACCAGCCACACUGGAACUGAGCCACUGUCCAGACUCCUACGGGAGGCAGCAGUGGGGAAUAUUGCACAAUGGGCGCAAGCCUGAUGCAGCCAUGCCGCGUGUAUGAAGAAGGCCUUCGGGUUGUAAAGUACUUUCAGCGGGGAGGCGUUACCCGCAGAAGAAGCACCGGCUAACUCCGUGCCAGCCGCCGCGGUAAUUC